AACUUUACAAAUACGAUGAGAGCUAUCUGAGCGACCCUGUUCUUUGCCGCCCCCUCCUCCCCAUCCGAACGUAGGUAGCUCACUCACUUGUUCCUUAAAUAACUAACCUGAACGAAUGGCCCCAGGUUAGUCCGUCUCCUUCUUCUUUUCAACCAAACUAAUCUCCCCGCCCAGAAACAAGGAUAAAUAUAACAGACAAAAAAACCCUACCUAGAGAGAA
rnacentral:rRNA from 1 species